rnacentral:rRNA from 1 species
UACGUAGGGUGCGGGCGUUGUCCGGAAUUAUUGGGCGUAAAGGGCUCGUAGGCGGUUUGUCGCGUCGGGAGUGAAAACCAGGUGCUUAACACCUGGCUUGCUUUCGAUACGGGCAGACUAGAGGUAUGCAGGGGAGAACGGAAUUCCUGGUGUAGCGGUGAAAUGCGCAGAUAUCAGGAGGAACACCGGUGGCGAAGGCGGUUCUCUGGGCAUGACCUGACGCUGAGGAGCGAAAGUGUGGGGAGCGAACAGG